UAAUCCGUCAUUGGGGAGUAGCCUCUCUCGACCAAUCGAGAGGGAUGCGUCAACAGACUUGGGUCAGCAUGGCUCAUGGCGCAUCCGGCAGUGGUCGCUUGGCGAGACCUUUGGUUUUAGCGUCCGACACCUGGGGGGUGGGCGGGGCGUGAAGCCAUUGGUUACGUUCAGCCCA
rnacentral:sRNA from 2 species